rnacentral:antisense_RNA from 1 species
AUAGUGCGCAUGCUUGAGCCCACUUACCUAACACCUGAGAUCUUAUUGGGACGCUGCUGAUAACCAGUUUCAGAGAUGCUCAAGCACUGAAUUGUCUUAAGAAAACAAGUAAGGUUUUGUCACCUAUCCUAUUUCUCACUGCAAGUUGAAAAAAAUCAAAUCCAAACACCACCACCCCUUCUAUGACAACAAACGGCUGUGGAGGUAAUCUUAUUUUCUUAAGGGUAGUUUCAUGAUGACAGUUUCAAAAAAUUACUGUGGAUAAAGAAAAAAUUGUCUCAAUGAAAUAGAAUUUUUCACUGAACACAGAAACCAUCUCAAUAGUUGCUGCUCCCUGGUUUCCAGGCCAUGCAACAGACAUCAAACUAGGAAGCCAAACUUUCAUGGACCUGUGUUAAGAAAAACACACAUAUAUGGGCAUACUACUUUUUUUUUUUUUUUUUCAGAAAAACGGAAUUAGGCAGAGAAGGAAGUGUGGGUGUACAACUGAUCCACAAGCUAUUGGGAAAUCAAUAGCUAAAAAAUGUCAACACCCUGGCUUCCUUUUAUCAGGAACUCCAGGAGGCUGAAAGGAAUGUGAGUGCAUGAGAUAAGCAAGACAGAUCUUAACGGUCCCCUCACAUCCCUUUCUGGGCCAUCUCCAGAAUGCCUAGUUUUGUGGAGACACCAUGUACUAUCUGGCUGCAGAGACUUUCUUAGGCCCCGUGUUAGACCCCAUGGGGUCUUAGCAUGUGGCCAUGUGGUAAUGCAUUCCUUUCAAAGGCUUUGGGUUGAACUCAAGUUGGAAACACCUGGAAAAGACCAAGCUUCUCCUUUGGGUGUCUGCGGAUCCUAUUAAAAAUAUUCAUGAUGCUUUAUGUUCUCCAAUUUUCUCCAUGAAAACAAGCAUCAGAUACACUACCUCUAAGUAUUUAUUGGAGGGGUUCCAACAGCCUCGUGGACAGGCCUUCUCAGCAGCUACUGAGUGCCCCCUAGGGGUGGGGAGGGGCCAGUGCACACAGAGGCAAACCACAGAGCCCUUUUGUGGCCUAUUAUGAAGAACUAAAAUGUGGCCAGUGAACCAGUCAGUGCUCAUCACUACGGGGUACUUUGAGAAUGGCACAAUUUCAUUUUACCAAAAGAAACCUUCACUGGCUCUGGGGACUGCAAUAUCUUCAUUUUAAAAUAUUUUGCUGCGUUUUCUUCAAGGGCGGCUUGUGACAACUGAACUGCUAAUUAUUCCUUCCAUGGACAGCAUGGUAGUGGCAAGUGCAGUAACUGGGCUCAUUGCAUUUUCUCUUUCCAUACAAGUUACUGCAACUGCCAUGUGAUCACUUUUCCAGCAGGCUGACUUCGAUUUGAUUUUUUUCUUAUUUAAAUGUUAGAAACAUCUCAGGGCUAUUAUUAUUUAUCUACAAAGCAGAAAUCAGCCAAAGACAAUGGAAAAAAGUAAGCUAAUCAGAACCUGAAGACCUGAAAUACCACAUGAAAUGUAAACAUUUAACUUUUUAUUUCCAAAGGAUUUCUUGAAGCCUCUCUGGAGAUAAUGACAUCACCACACAUACUGAUAAACAAUCUUUUAAUACCUUUGGAAUUACUCUUUAUAAUUUUUAUACUUCAAAUUAAGAAAACCGCCCAAUGUUCAGGCAACUUUGGCAUUAACAUUUCCAAGAAAGGGACAAAAACAACUAUUAAUGCAACAUCAUGAAGAGAUUGGGGACAAUUGUGGGUGUCUAUAAAGCUCUCUUUGAAAAGCUCUUUAAAGCGAACUCAGGUAAACGGAAAUGAAAUCUGACUUUUUACUUAGACCAAAUAACAAUGAGGUUUGAAUAGAAAAUGGAAGAUUCAGGCCCUUUCUACCUAAGAUGAAGGCAUUUAGUUUGCUCAAAUUCAAACUCCACCAAAUACUCUGAAUGGAAAGUUUGGCAACAGAACUGGACAUGUGGAGGUUCACCAACCAUUUUGAUCAAAGGUGAUCUGAUUUUAUCUCACUUCUUGCCUAACCUUUCUGGCUUGUUUACCUUGACUAGAUGCCUGUGGCAUUAUAUAAUGAUGCAGCCCAGCAGAAGUAGGAUGCUAAUAAACCCUGGGGUAAAGCAGCAAUCAUUUGCAUUUUUACCACAUAUACUUGAAUAAUCCAAAAUACUGAGAGUUGCUUCCCUAUGCUCAACAUCCAUAGGACCAAAUUUGGAAAGGUGAACUGUAGUUGGCUUAUUUGCUGGCCUUAGGUGCUCUUAUGACCUGUGCUUAGCCAUAUUUAGCUCACUGGCUAAGAGGCUGAAAAGAUUCUACCACCUUCAGGUGUGUGGGGAACAUGAACAGGAGGCUGACAAACAAGGAGGGAAGUUUCUGUUGUACCUGGUGAGUGGGUUUUAUGAAAAGAAUAUGGGUAGGGAUGAGUCAGUGAUAUUUUGGUUUUAUCACUUUUUGGAGAAACAUACAUAUAUAUACAUAAAUAGAACACACGUUUUUAUAUCAUUUAUUGACCUGAGGCCAAAUUCUACUCGAUUUUCUACUUUCCCCCUACUAAGAGAUCCAGAAAAGCUAUUAACAUUAGAGAAUAAAGUAUUACUUCUUCUGGAAUCCUUUCUACAUACCCCUUUGUACUCUGGGAAGGUUUGAAUGUGACCAGGAAGGAGGCGAUAUCAACACAGGCUAAGUUAAUUAACGAAAAACAGCACUCUGACUAACCUAUAGUUGAAUUUACAAAAUACACUUCAAAGCUAUGGCCUGGUACAGGGGGAGGAUGGGAUACUGCACAUAUUUUUCUCUCUCAGCCUUAUCAGGCUACCACGGGAAAGCUAUAGACAGAGAUAUAUUAUUCUUCACCAUAAAAAGCCUGCAAACCCCAUUUUAAUUAGCCCCAAAGAACUGUGCCCUAAAAUGUAAAAUGAAAUAAAAAUCUCUGGAUAACA